rnacentral:rRNA from 1 species
AACGAACGCUGGCGGCGUGUUUAAGACAUGCAAGUCGCACGGUGUCAUUUUGGUAGCAAUACUUGGAUGGCACAGUGGCGCACGGGUGAGUAACACGUGAAUGACAUGCCCUUCAGAGGGGGAUAGCCCAGGGAAACUUGGAUUAAUACCCCAUGGUCUCGCAAGAGUAAAGGUGGCCGCAAGGCUGUCGCUGGAGGAUUGGUUCGCGUUCUAUCAGCUUGUUGGCGGGGUAACGGCCCACCAAGGCUACGACGGAUACCUGGUCUGAGAGGACGAUCAGGCACACUGGAACUGAGAAACGGUCCAGACACCUACGGGUGGCAGCAGUCGAGAAUAAUUCACAAUGGGGGCAACCCUGAUGGUGCAACGCCGCGUGGAGGAUGAAGGUCUUCGGAUUGUAAACUCCUGUCAUCCGGGAGCAAGACCUGACGGUGAAUAGCCGGCAGGGUUGAUAGUACCGGAAGAGGAAGGGACGGCUAACUUCGUGCCAGCCGCCGCAGUAACAC